GCAGGUAGCUGCGUUUGCCGACACCCACCUCGUGGUGGACAAGGUCGACGACAAAGGCGGAGUGGUGAGCAGUGGCGUGCGGACUCUGUCGGAUUCGGAUCGGGUGGUCGAAUUGGCCCGUAUGUUGGCAGGGCUGGACGACACCGAGACCGGUCGUGCGCACGCCGAAGAACUGCUCGAGAUCGCGAAUGCGGCCCGCGUCACAGAUUGAAGGUUCUGUGGUGUUGGUGUGACUGAUGUGGUAGUUGUCGGCGCGCCUCCA
rnacentral:misc_RNA from 1 species